rnacentral:lncRNA from 12 species
GGUUAAGUAGGAUUAGUAUCAAAUCCCUAUUAUAUUUGCCAAGCAACUUGAAUUUGUCAAAAUUCCCCCUCGCUGUUCUGGAGCUCCGUGAGGAGGAAAUUUUGCUCACAGUGUAAGAUCCAGGCAUGCCAGUACGUAGGAAUACCAGCGUACUGCAUUACAUUGGCUCCCUGCACUGGAAAGACAACUGCGAGCAGCUCCCGCUGUUCCUCUCCCUUUGUGUUUUUAAACGCAGCCAGGAAAGUUAAUGUAUUCGCCAGGGAAGGGGCGGGAUGAGAGCGUUUUUCACCUCCCCGCCAUAAACUUUAAUCGGAUUCCGGGCUGUUGCACGGCAUGGACGCUCUCCUUCUUGCCUGCGUCUCCUUCCCCGUUGUUUCUACUACGGUCUGCUUGCGAGUGCCUCUUUCAAGCGGAUGAGUGAUUUCUUUCUCUUGCCAUGUGCAAUUGCUCCCCCUUCCCUUGCUACCCUCCCUGGCCUCUCUUACACACACUAUGCCUUUCACACGCGCUCUGCGCCCCCCAGCCCCCCCCCUUUCUUUCUUUUUUGCAGUGUCUUCACAUGCAAUCUCUCUCUGAAUGUGCAAUGUCUUUCCUGCUCGGGAGUGCUGCGUCCUUCACAGUGGAUUGGUUCCUCUUUCGGAGCAGAGUUCAUAAUUUUCCAGCAUGCUUCUUAUGGUGAAAGAAACUGA